rnacentral:rRNA from 1 species
GACGAACGCUGGCGGCUUGCUUAACACAUGCAAGUCGCACGGAGUGGCGAACGGGUGAGUCACACGUGGGUGAUCUGCCUUGCACUUCGGGAUAAACUUGGGAAACUGGGUCUAAUACCGGAUAGUGCAAGAUGAGCUCGCGGCCUAUCAUCUUGUUGGUGGGGUAAUGGCCUACAAAGGGGUCGACGGGUAGCCGGCCUGAGAGGGUGUAAGGCCACAGUGGGACUGAGAGACGGCCCAGACUCCUACGGGAGGCAGCAGUGGGGAAGAUUGCAAAAUGGGCGGAAGCCUGAUGAAGCGACGCCGGGUGGGGGAUGAAGGCCUUCGGGUGGUAAACGCCUUUCGACAGGGACGCGGUACCUGUAUAAGAAGCACCGGCUAACUACGUGCCAGCAGCCGCGGUAAUAC